UUUCACCCAAAGAGUUUAAUGGGACUACUAAAAUGUGAAAAUGUAUUCAGGUGUUUGUAGAAUCUGGGCUUCAUAUUGUAGUCAUAAACUUAUUUUCAGCCUGUCAAAAUCUCUUUGUGAAAAAGAGCUACACCAAGGUUUUUACCAGCCCUCUGAUCUCUACUAAACUAGCACCUCCAAGCCCACAAGCUUCAGAUGAUUGUAAACACAGUGCAGUUUGUCAUCUAAGUUCACAAUAAAAACAGAGGGCCUCCCUUCCACAUCAGGCCUGCGACCACCUGGAACCUUCCCACAACUCACUGGUGAUUUCAGCACUCAUUGUUUGGGAAACAUUGCACUAAUGAUCCCCUUUUCACCUUGCAACUCAGCCCUCCA